CCUACGGGAGGCAGCAGUGAGGAAUAUUGGUCAAUGGCCGGAAGGCUGAACCAGCCAUGCCGCGUGAAGGUCAGUGCCCUCUGGGCGUUAAACUUCUUUUGUGCGGGAGCAAUAAUGGUCACGUGUGGCCAGACGAGAGUACCGUACGAAUAAGCAUCGGCUAACUCCGUGCCAGCAGCCGCGGUAAUACGGGGGAUGCAAGCGUUAUCCGGAGUUAUUGGGUUUAAAGGGUGCGUAGGCCGUGAGGUAAGUCAGCGGGGAAAUGCCCCCGCUCAACGGGGUGAAGUGCCAUUGAUACUGCCUUGCUGGAAUGCGGAUGCCGUGGGAGGAAUGUGUGGUGUAGCGGUGAAAUGCAUAGAUAUCACACAGAACACCGAUUGCGAAGGCAUCUCACGAAUCCGCGAUUGACGCUGAGGCACGAAAGCGUGGGUAUCAAACAGGAUUAGAUACCCCUGUAGUC
rnacentral:rRNA from 1 species